CAGAACAAAUGCUAGGUCUACAGGACUUUUCCUACCCCUUCCGGACCUGCAGUCUUGGGAGCGGACCUGCCACUCCGGCUGGACUCAGCACCGCGCUUCUCACCGCCAGGCAGGAACGCUCCUUCCCAGUCUGAGGAAAUGAUAGACUCCCCACCCGCCGCCAUUUGAGCUGAAGGAGCUGCCCCUAAGUAAAGCGUGGGCUAAUUCCAGCCACUUCUCUGUUAGGCCAAAGGUUUCCCAAGGAGGUAGGUCAGGGAGCAAUACCCCCACUCAUUACAGGUUGGGAGGGUUCGGCCAGCUGGGUAUUUGGACGGUUAUACUGUCCCUUCCUGUCCUCCAUGCCCCGGCGAGAACGCGCCAUCAGCCCUGGAGAUAUCUUAAGCUCCCUAGCUGCAAAUGGGGGCUGGGUGUAGUGAUCGAAAGUUAACUCGGGAAUGGAAUGCCACGCCCCCUUUCCUAUAACUGCAAUUAGAACAAUUGGCACUUUUUUUUUUCCCCCUGUUGUUUUUGGGAGCCGCCUUUCAUUCCAAAGAAUGACAGGUUUCUCACAGAUACAAAAAGUCAGCCAGUCCAGAAACUGCGGAGUCCCUCAAAGGAAUACUGAGUGCUUCCUGGAUACUCGCUGCACCCCCUCCACACACCCGCAGCCACACACACAUCCUGCGAGCUUCAGACCCAGGAAACAAAUUCAGGGUUGGCAGGUAGAAGAAGAUGCAAAAUGCAGUUAGUAUAGUAGAUGUGUUUUAUUUAGCGAUGGCCACAGUCUGCAGCUUCAGCUUCAGUCCCCAUUUUUACCCCCAUUAGCCCAGAUCACCCUGAGUCUUUCCCAUAGGCCCUUUUUAUAUAUGCAAAUCAAAGAAGGCACACUGCCAACAGGUUACAUGGGGGUGGAGGGGAGCAGGACUCCUGCUCAUAAGUUAAUGUUUAUGACCUUGAGUAUAAAAGCUGAAUCAGAGUGUUUCUGGCCUUGACUUACCAUUACAUAGUUGGUUUCUAGCCCUAGCUGCACAUUAGAAACAUAACAGCUUGCCGGAAGUCUCAGCUAGGUAACCUAACUACAGCCAUUUUGGGGCCUAGCCCAACACUGACCUAAAUUAAGUAAAAAUUAGAGCUCUUUCAACCCCAUUUCUGAGGUUUAUAAUAGCCCUAAAGGCCUGAGAUCACAGGAGCACUAGAUGUGAGAUUUGGAGAUGAGUGAUCGAUCACCUUCUUACCUAUUUCAGAUAUGAGUGUACCUUGAACUUCUCUGCAUGUCAAAUAACAAUGACUUCUGUAACUUUCUGUAUCAUAUUACUAUUUUUUUUUUGUAGUGCUGAGCAUUGAACCCAGGGCUGUGUGCAUGUGAGACAAGCACCCUAUCAACUAAGCUAUAUCCCAGCCCCAUAUUACUAAAUUUUGAGCAUAGUCACCAGGGUUUCAAAACUAAAAGUUCAAGUUUUAUCUUUGCAAGUAGAAUGACUGGCAAAAAAAAAAAAAAAAGUGUAAAAUUUUAUUUUACAUGAAUUGAUUAAUUAUUUUUAUACAAUCUUAUAUUUGAAGGGCCUUUAUAAGGUCUUUUUAAAGGUCUUAAAGAUAAUGAAGUGGAGAUGUUAAGGAUUUCUCCAAAGUCACACAGAACUGGAACCUGGCCUUUCUAACUGACCUCACUCAGUGGUGGAGGUCAGAAGCACUGCAUUGCUUCUCUUGCAUUUGGUUUACAUUAGAAAUCUACUACACGAUGCUGGCCACUUCUGGCUUAGCCACUACAGGAUGCUGGCCACUUCUGGCUAACACUGCCUACUGCCACUAGAGCUUACAGACAAGUAUACAAAGCAAGUGUAUAGCACAAGUAUAAUGCACCUGCUGCCACUAGAGUUUGUGGACAAGUGUAUAGGAUCAAGAAUUCAUAUUGUGAUGAAUGAUAAGGAAAUUGAUGGAACUCUUCUAGGAUUAACUGUCAAUAUGGUGCUGUAAGAUGUCACUGAGUUUGACAUCAGAAGGAAAAAGGAUUACUAAAUCUGAUAAGAUUUUGCUUAAUGGAAAGAAUAUAACAAUGUUGGUUCCUGAAGGAGAGGGACCUGAAGGAUGAAUGAUUUUCCUUGACUUAUACUAGAUUCCAUUUUGUUUUAUAAUAGAUUUUUAAAAAUCUUGAGUAUUUUUAAAAUAUAUAUUUUUUAAAUCUUUUAAUGUUUAGGUUCUCUAAGAAUAAUUUUUCCCAUUAAAGGGAAAUACUUUCAAGAUAU
rnacentral:lncRNA from 1 species